CCCGCCGUCGCUAGGCGACCGCGGCUCUCGCGAGAGCGACGGGGGCGGCCAAGAUGGCGGACGGGGCGGGUAGCAACGGGGACGCCGCGGCGCUGCCUGUGGGCAAGGAGGCAGUGGAGCGGCUGAUCCGGGAGAACGGGCACAUCUUCACCGAGGCGCAGUGCAAGGUGUGCAGCGCGCUGCUCAUCUCCGAGUCGCAGCGCCUGGCGCACUACCAGAGCAAGAAGCACGCCAACAAGGUGCGGAGGUACCUCUCCAUCCACGGCGAGGAGGAGCUGGCGCCCGGGAAGAAGAUGAAGCUGGACGCGAAGGAGAGCAAGCAGGAAGGCAGCAAUGGGGAGGACAGGAACAAGUGUUGUCCCAUCUGUAACAUGACCUUUUCCUCUCCUGCUGUGGCCACGUCUCACUACCUGGGGAAGACUCAUGCCAAGAAUGUGAAGCAGCAGUCCCCUAAAGUGGAAGAAGUGGUGCCCCCACAGAAACAUCCCGCUACCCUCCCCACCUCUACUGUGUCUUCUAAUGAAGAGAACAAGGACAUUGCUGACCCAGACAAGUUCUGUAGCCUCUGCCAUGCCACUUUCAACAACCCCCUUAUGGCAAAACAACAUUACGUGGGCAAGAAGCACAGAAAGCAAGAAACCAAACACAAGCUGAUGGCACGCUACGGCCGAUCUCCUGACGCACCAGCAUCGUCCUUCCUGGGCACCAAGUUGUUGGCUAGCUGUGCUGUGUGUGUUAACAUUGAUGUCUGUUUCAGCUGGGAAAGGCUACCCCUGCAACACAUGUAACAUAGUACUGAACUCCAUAGAGCAGUACCAAGCUCACAUCAGUGGCUUCAAACACAAGAAUCAGAUCCCGGGAGCAGUGCCGCUUGUAGGACCGUUCCCACCGCAGCAGUAUGUCCGGGAAGAAACAACUGCUCCAGGAGGCUACAGUUACUUCAGCCAAGACUUCUAGAGCAAGUUGCAGCACCGUUCUUGGAGUUGUUGGUGGCCCAAGAACACACAUCCUUUGCCAGCCCACAAUGGUUUCAUUAUCCCUCUAUGGAUAAGCAAAGCCCUACCCUCCUGUAUGCACCCGUUGAGCAGAACGGGGACUGAAUCUGUCCGAAAAAGGAUCCAGCUGGAAGGGACUUGGUAGACAGCAAAUACUUCACUCCCUUAGAGUAGUUUUCAUUGUGUAAUUGCUUCCUGAAAAGGUGGGUGCGGUGUGAGAGGAAGUGUGUAUCUGGUAUAAGGAGCGUCUGGCAACAAGCUGGUUAACAUCUACCUCCUCCCUCACCAGAGCAAACAGUGGAUUCCUGCCCCUGGAGGCCAGCAGCCCACACUUAGAGGUGUCUUUUGCUGGAGGAGAGCUCCUAGUCCAUAGCGAGCAGCAUUUAUGCGGUGUGAAUGGGAUGCUGUGCGUGUUGCCUGGCAUUUUACAGGCCUAACAUAGGAAAUGGCAGCAAGACAUCUUUUGUCGUGAUUCCUCUGGGCAGGUUUGUGUGCAGAAUUCUGUGAGCCACUGAUUGCCAUCAGAGCCCUUUGCAGCACUGCAGCCCGUGGUUCAGGAGCUGUGUUGUUUGGCGUCUAACAAGUAGUUGUGAUUUCUGGUGUACAGUGCUGCUGGUGGAGCGGAGGGCGGGCGGAGGAGUUGGAGCUCUUGGCUCUCCUGGCAGCUCAGCCCUCCACUCUGAGGAUUUCCACGUGGAAGGAAGAAACUGUUUAGCCUGGUUUCCUAUGGAAACAGGUGUAUGUGAUCAUUCACCGUGUGUGUCUUUACCCCCCCAUAACUUAAACCAAUCUCAGCCAAACUUGGCAGUGGUGGAAAUCUCCGAGACCUGAAUGCAAUCAGCAGAGGAAGGUGAGCAGGAAGAGUUCAUCUCUAGUUCUGUCAGGGUCUCUACAUGAGUGCAGCGUUUUCCCUACUGCCAGCAAAAUAGUAAUAGAGAAGGAGAACUUUAAAGGAAAAAAAGUAGAGGAGAAAAGUAUAGAAAUAACAGAAUAGUGUAGUAUAGCUUGGUCGAAUUGUUAGCUGGCUGAAUAGCUACAAAUCCUCUGGAAACCUGACUUAGUCCUUCAUUAGACAAUACUUGCCCAACCCCUCUCCUCAGAGUUCUUACGCAUUUGUACCAUCAUGGAGAAGAGAUGCUCUGUCUUUCAAACCCAGAAAUUAAGACAGAUGGUCUCCUCAUGGUGCUAAUGUACUGGAUCUGUCAGAAGAGCCCCUGGAAGGAAGGGCGGGCAUCUGAGGCUGUUGUGCAUUUUGGGUGAGUUCUUCAGAUGUUCUGCCCUUGAGCUAGGGCAGUGCCAUUCUUUGCUGGCCACCGUGGGAGCUGUGCUGUCGGGCUGGCCUUGUGCUCAGCACCAGCACUCCACAUGAGGCACCCCGCAGCUUUGUCUCAGCCUCAGUGCCUCCAUGGAGCUGAGACUUCACCAGCCUGUGGCAAGUGCCAUUGGUUUUCUUCCACGGGGCAGGAGAACAGGGGCUUGCCUGGCCAGCAGGAGCGGAGGUGGUGGACACACUGAGCAGAGCCGCUGCCUCUCACCGCCGCGGCAGCUGCUGGAGGGCACUCUGGGGCCCUGCGCUCCCGGUGCUGCGUUCCAGGCUGAGCAGCUGCCACCCUUGCGAGGCUGAGAGCCAGGCUGGGGAGGCACUCCCAAAACCCUGCACGUGCUGGUCAGGUUAAGCGAGGAGAGGGAGCUGGUUGCUCAUCUCCGCACUUGGAGCGAGUGCCUUCCCUCCCCGCUCAAGGCUGUGCACGAGCUUUGUUUGCCUUCGCCCUGCGCAGGAUCUGCCAUCUCCCCUUAGGACGGGCUCCUGCUGGUCUGGGUUCGCCUUCCUGAUGUUUUCCAGUCUUGCUGUGCUGCUGAGGGCUGACCUUAGCCUCCUGCUUCAGAGGGAGUCCUGUUAAGCCAAGCAAGCUGAUCAACCAGCAGAAAAUUGCAAUGAAGUGAAGGAAGCAUUGCGUGCCUGGUGGCACUGGAUGGCCUCCAGCUCCAAUCUCCGCUGCUUAGCUCUCGUCUCGCUGCACGAGGGCAGGUGCCUGCUAGAUGUGCUAUGCAUUGACACCAAGAGGGAUCCAUUUCCAGCACUGCCCAGUCCGGUGUGUCACUCCAGUCUGUGUACUGACAGUUUUGCCUUCCUCUGUACAUGAUGUUUAUGUAUCUGCUGUUUCCCUAAGGUGAAGCUCUCCAAAUAGAGUGUUUAUUACUACA